rnacentral:rRNA from 1 species
UGGGGAAUAUUGCACAAUGGGCGAAAGCCUGAUGCAGCGACGCCGCGUGAGUGAAGAAGUAUUUCGGUACGUAAAGCUCUAUCAGCAAGGAAGAAAAUGACGGUACUUGACUAAGAAGCCCCGGCUAACUACGUGCCAGCAGCCGCGGUAAUACGUAGGGGGCAAGCGUUAUCCGGAUUUACUGGGUGUAAAGGGAGCGUAGACGGUUCUGCAAGUCUGGUGUGAAAGCCCGGGGCUCAACCCCGGGACUGCAUUGGAAACUGUGGAACUAGAGUGCAGGAGAGGUAAGUGGAAUUCCUAGUGUAGCGGUGAAAUGCGUAGAUAUUAGGAGGAACACCAGUGGCGAAGGCGGCUUACUGGACUGUAACUGACGUUGAGGCUCGAAAGCGUGGGGAGCAAACA